rnacentral:rRNA from 1 species
AGAGUUUGAUCAUGGCUCAGGACGAACGCUGGCGGCGUGCCUAACACAUGCAAGUCGAACGCGAUCCAGAAAGUAGUUUACUAUGAUCUGGUGAAAGUGGCGGACGGGUGAGUAACGCGUGGGUAACCUGGCCUAUGGAAGGGGAUAGCCUCGGGAAACCGGGAUUAAUACCGUAUGUAGUUGGCGGAUCGCAUGGUCUGCCAAUGAAAGAUUUAUCGCCAUAGGAUGGACCCGCGUCCCAUUAGCUAGUUGGUGAGAUAACAGCCCACCAAGGCGACGAUGGGUAGCCGGCCUGAGAGGGCGAACGGCCACACUGGGACUGAGACACGGCCCAGACUCCUACGGGAGGCAGCAGUGGGGAAUAUUGCGCAAUGGGGGCAACCCUGACGCAGCAACGCCGCGUGAAUGAUGAAGGUCUUCGGAUCGUAAAGUUCUGUCGAAGGGGAAGAAGAAAUGACGGUACCCUUAGAGGAAGCCCCGGCUAACUACGUGCCAGCAGCCGCGGUAAUACGUAGGGGGCAAGCGUUGUCCGGAUUUACUGGGCGUAAAGGGCGUGUAGGCGGUUUUUUAAGUCAGGUGUGAAAGUUCGGGGCUUAACCCCGGAAUURCAUUUGAAACUGGAGAACUUGAGUACUGGAGAGGUAAGUGGAAUUCCUAGUGUAGCGGUGAAAUGCGUAGAUAUUAGGAGGAACACCAGUGGCGAAGGCGACUUACUGGACAGAUACUGACGCUGAGGCGCGAAAGCGUGGGGAGCGAACAGGAUUAGAUACCCUGGUAGUCC